rnacentral:rRNA from 1 species
AUUGAACGCUGGCGGCAUGCUUUACACAUGCAAGUCGAACGGUAGAGGGGCAACCCUUGAGAGUGGCGAACGGGUGAGUAAUGCAUCGGAACGUGCCCAGUAGUGGGGGAUAGCCCGGCGAAAGCCGGAUUAAUACCGCAUGAGACCUGAGGGUGAAAGCGGGGGAUCGCAAGACCUCGCGCUAUUGGAGCGGCCGAUGUCAGAUUAGCUAGUUGGUGGGGUAAAGGCCUACCAAGGCGACAAUCUGUAGCUGGUCUGAGAGGACGACCAGCCAAACUGGGACUGAGGCACGGGCCAGACUCCUACGGGAGGCAGCAGUGGGGAAUUUUGGACAAUGGGCGCAAGCCUGAUCCAGCCAUGCCGCGUGCGGGAAGAAGGCCUUCGGGUUGUAAACCGCUUUUGUCAGGGAAGAAAUCUUCUGGGCUAAUACCCUGGGAGGAUGACGGUACCUGAAGAAUAAGCACCGGCUAACUACGUGCCAGCCGCCGCGGUAAGAC